GAGUUUGAUCCUGGCUCAGGAUGAACGCUGGCGGCAUGCCUAACACAUGCAAGUCGAACGGGGUUUAUAUAACAGAACUCUUCGGAGGGAAGAUAUAUAAACCUAGUGGCGGACGGGUGAGUAACGCGUGGGCAACCUGCCCUGUACCGGGGACAACAGCCAGAAAUGGCUGCUAAUACCGCAUAAGCCUGCGGUGCCGCAUGGCACAGCAGGGAAAACCACGGUGGUACAGGAUGGGCCCGCGUCUGAUUAGUUAGUUGGCAGGGUAACGGCCUACCAAGACGAUGAUCAGUAGCCGGCUUGAGAGAGUGGACGGCCACAUUGGGACUGAGACACGGCCCAGACUCCUGCGGGAGGCGGCAGUGGGGAAUAUUGCACAAUGGGGGGAACCCUGAUGCAGCAAUGCCGCGUGGGUGAAGAAGCACUCCGGUGCGUAAAGCCCUGUCAGCAGGGAAGAAAAUGACAGUACCUGACCAAGAAGCCCCGGCUAACUCGUGCCAGCCGCCGCGG
rnacentral:rRNA from 1 species